rnacentral:rRNA from 1 species
GACGAACGCUGGCGGCGUGCUUAACACAUGCAAGUCGAACGGAAAGGCCCUGCUUUUGUGGGGUGCUCGAGUGGCGAACGGGUGAGUAACACGUGAGUAACCUGCCCUUGACUUUGGGAUAACUUCAGGAAACUGGGGCUAAUACCGGAUAGGAGCUCCUGCUGCAUGGUGGGGGUUGGAAAGUUUCGGCGGUUGGGGAUGGACUCGCGGCUUAUCAGCUUGUUGGUGGAGUAGUGGCUUACCAAGGCUUUGACGGGUAGCCGGCCUGAGAGGGUGACCGGCCACAUUGGGACUGGGAUACGGCCCAGACUCCUACGGGAGGCAGCAGUGGGGAAUAUUGCACAAUGGGCGGAAGCCUGAUGCAGCAACGCCGCGUGCGGGAUGACGGCCUUCGGGUUGUAAACCGCUUUCGCCUGUGACGAAGCGUGAGUGACGGUAAUGGGUAAAGAAGCACCGGCUAACUACGU